GAUGAACGCUGGCGGCGUGCUUAACACAUGCAAGUCGAACGGAAAGGCUCCUGCUUGCAGGGGUACUCGAGUGGCGAACGGGUGAGUAACACGUGGGUGAUCUGCCCUGCACUUCGGGAUAAGCCUGGGAAACUGGGUCUAAUACCGGAUAGGACCACAUUUUGGAUGGUGUGGUGGAAAGUUUUUCGGUGUGGGAUGAGCUCGCGGCCUAUCAGCUUGUUGGUGGGGUAAUGGCCUACCAAGGCGUCGACGGGUAGCCGGCCUGAGAGGGUGUACGGCCACAUUGGGACUGAGAUACGGACCAGACUCCUACGGGAGGCAGCAGUGGGGAAUAUUGCACAAUGGGCGCAAGCCUGAUGCAGCGACGCCGCGUGGGGGAUGACGGCCUUCGGGUUGUAAACUCCUUUCGCUAGGGACGAAGCGCAAGUGACGGUACCUGGAGAAGAAGCACCGGCUAACUACGUG
rnacentral:rRNA from 1 species